rnacentral:lncRNA from 1 species
ACUUGUUUUCAUCAUCUCUUGCUAUACUCAUUAGUUGUCUUUUCUACAUUAUAUUAACCUAUCAAUUGUUAGUAAUUUUUUUUUAAGAUUUUAUUUAUUUGACACAGAAAGAGAGAGCAGGUCCCCACUGAGCAGAGCCUGACUUGGGGCUCCAUCCCAGGACCCUUGGAUCAUGACCUGAGCCAAAGGCAGAUACUUAACUGACAGAGCCAACCCGGGGCCCUGAAUUAUUUUCAAUAUUUUUGGCUCUCCAGAUAACUAAACAAUCUUGAUGUGAAAAUGCUUAAAUUAUUCAGAUGUUGGGCAGCCCGUGUGGCUCAGGGGUUUAGCGCUGCCUUCAGCCCAGGGCCUGAUCUUGGAGACCCAGGAUCGAUGUCAGGCUCCCUACAUAGAGCUUCUCUCUCUCUCUCUCUCUCUCAUGAAUAAAUAAAUAAAAUCUUAAAAAACUAUUCAGAUGUUGCCUGCUAAAGCUGAGUGUUUCAAAAGUUCUAUGUUUAUGAAGACACUGAUUUUAUUCCCCUAACAUUGACAACCUUGUUUUUCCUUAAGCACAGCACAAUGGCAAUACAAAAGAAUGUACUUUCCAAAUCUUGGGACCAAUUUAAAGUUGAUAGUGUCAUAGUGUCUGGGGUGCCUGGCUGGCUCAGUCAGCAGAGCAUGUGGCUUUUGAUCUCAGGGUUGUGAGUUUGUGCCCCAUGUUGGGUGUGGAGAUAAAAAAGAAAAUAAAGUAGAUAGUGUCCUAAAACUAAAACUUCUUCCAAAGCAAAAUGUCUUCCUAAUGUACAAACCCUGUGCAUAAGAUUAUUUAAUAUUUCAAAUUUUGCAGAAUUUUAAAGUUCUUAUUAAAUCACAUCUUUCUAAUAUAGAAGAAAGAUAACACUACAUUUUGCAAAACUUGUCCUCAUAGGCAAUUCUGCUAAUCCUUUAGAUCUACCAUUACUGCUGAAGUCUGGAGUCCCUGACCCCUUUUUGCAUGCCUACUUUUUCUCCAAAAGCUUGAAAACACCAGGGGUUAAGUUUCUGAGCUUUGGAAAGCAUGAGAACAGACAGUCCCCAACUUACGAUGUUCAACUAAUAAUUUUUUGGCUUUAUGAUCAUGUGAAAGCAAUAUGCAUUCAGUAGAAACUGUACCCGGGAUUUUGGAUUUUGAUAUUUCCCAGACUAACACUAUGUGGCACAAUACUCUGUCAUAGUGCUGGACAACAGCAGCUACAGCCCACGCUCAACCAUGUGAUCACGAGGGUCAGUAACCGAUACACUUACAACCCAUACAACCGUUCUGUAUUUCACUUUAAGUACAGUAGUCAAUAAAUUACAUGAAAUGGUCAAUACUUUAUCAUAAAGUAGGAUUUGUGUUAGAUGAUCUUUCCCCAAAUAGGCUAAUGUAAGUGUUCUAUGUUUAAAGUAGCUGUGCUCUAAGUGGUGAUGUUUGGUGGGUUAAGUGUAUUAAAUGCAUUUUCAACUUGUAUUUUCAAUUUACGAUGGGUCUAUAAGGACAUAACCCCAUCACAAAUGGAGGAAGAUUAUAUGUGUUUGUACCUGGCAACACUACACAUCCGCAGAAAUUCCUCAGCAAAGGUGGGCACAGGUGCCACAAACAAUUAGGGAAAACCUGGGUAAGUGGAGGAUGGUGUGGUGGGCCCCGGCCUAGAAAAAUCCCAAACUGAAAACUGUCUCUGUAAAUUCCAACUCAUAACAGCAGUGGUAGCAGCAUUCAGCAGUUUCUGUACAUUAGCAAGACAAGAUGCACUUUUCCUAUGACUCAUUUUGUAGCUAAACUCAAGACUUUCAGCCUCGAUUUUUAUUACAGUGCAAUUAUGGGGUAGAAAUUCAGCCUUUCACAGCUAUACUUGUGGCCAUAAAACCCAGACCUUCCACUUCUGCACUCCUGGAAAUGGGGAGCACAGGUGACACAAAAGCAGAUGAAAUUAUUUGUAUACUUGUACUCGAAGCUUUUAUUCCCAAAUCCUUACUGUGACAUCUACUUUCAGGGCACAGGAAGGUGGAGUCAGUCUGGCUACAAGUGGGUCUCUGGACCACAUCUAUGAUCAGUAAGUCACCACUAAUGCAGCUACAAGCACACUCCAAUCCAUCAAAUACCCUCAUACAUAAAUUACAGUGCAGAGGUUCCAUGUAGAGCAGCUAUUUGUGGCAUUAAAAACCUGGGAUAUUGCCCCCCAUUUAAAUACAUCAUCCAAAACCAGAGUAUUUCCAUCCUCUUGAUCAGAACUAGUUAGAACUGCCCUUGUUCUCUGGGUAAGGCUGAGAUGUACGGAAUGCCAAGACAGUUGGUCACCACUCAAUUCAAGUGAAAAAAAGUCCAGCUGACUUUCUGAUCUUUUAUGCGGAUGUGCCACAAACAGCCUUAUCAGCAGUUCAGCGAACUGCUUAGAAUUAUCUUUUUAGUUUUAUGGGUUUCUUCUACACCCUUAAUGUCUGGCUGAUGUGUUUUUUCUGACCUGUGGAGGUUUAAUAGUGAAUGAUAAUCAUUAUGGUUCGGUAAACUCUAAAACGUAUUUAUAUCUAGCUGAUCUUAACCUUUUUUUUUUCAUUAAGGUAUCAUUUAUAUACAGUAAAAUCCACCCUGUUAUGUGCACAGGUCUACAGAUUUUGACAGACACAUAUAGCUGUGUCAUCUAGGGAGUAUUUUUUUUUUCUUAUUCUGAUUUCAUAAUUCUCUACACCACAUGUGUAUUUUAAUUUCCUGGCUGUAUCAGUGAGAACUGCUACCUGCUGCAGAAAUUCAAAAUAAGGGCUUCUUAAACCCAACAUUUAAACCAGGAAGAAUAUUCAAGGGUGCCUCGCACAUCUGCGCAAAGUGCACAGCCCGACGGCAGGAGAAGCCAGCAUGUGGGGAGUGGCGCCCCCUAGUGUUUCCUGUGCAUAAUCUGCAUGGCCAUCCGUGGCCGCUCUGAAUAUAGCCACCAGUUUGAGGGAUCUUCAAAACUGUGGUGGUGUUAACAGUGAAACAGGAGAUGUUUAAAAUAAAAAAAGGAGGCUCCAUGCAGAGAGCCUGACGUGGGACUCGAUCCAGGGUCUCCAGGAUCACACCCUGGGCUGCAGGCGGCGCUAAACUGCUGCGCCACUGGGGUUGCCCUCUGGUCUGCAUUUUAAAACCUUUUCUCUUGCCUUUGCAAAUGUUACAUCCUCCUUCUAAAGAACCACCAUAGGUUCUUUAGAUGUUCCUCCCUACAAGGCACUUAGAACAAAUGCCAGUUACCAAAAAAAAA